AGAGUUUGAUCCUGGCUCAGAAUGAACGCUGGCGGCGUGCUUAACACAUGCAAGUCGAACGAUGAAGCCUAGCUUGCUAGGUGGAUUAGUGGCGCACGGGUGAGUAAUAUAUAGGUAACGUGCCUCUUAGUCUGGGAUAGCCAUUGGAAACGAUGAUUAAUACUGGAUACUCCUUCUAACUUCAAUGUUAGUUGGGAAAGUUUUUCGCUAAGAGAUCGGCCUAUUUCCCAUCAGGUAGUUGGUAGUGUAAGAGACUACCAAGCCUAUGACGGGUAGCGGGUUUGAGAGGAUGAUCCGCCACACUGGUACUGAGACACGGACCAGACUCCUACGGGAGGCAGCAGUGAGGAAUAUUGCACAAUGGAGGAAACUCUGAUGCAGCAACGCCGCGUGGAGGAUGACGCAUUUCGGUGUGUAAACUCCUUUUAUAGGUCAAGAAAAUGACGGUAGCCUAUGAAUAAGCACCGGCUAACUCCGUGCCAGCAGCCGCGGUAAUACGGAGGGUGCAAGCGUUAUUCGGAAUCACUGGGCGUAAAGGACGCGUAGGCGGGAAGCCAAGUCUGAUGUGAAAUCCUA
rnacentral:rRNA from 1 species